UUGAACGCUGGCGGCAUGCUUUACACAUGCAAGUCGAACGGUAACAGGGAGCUUGCUCCGCUGACGAGUGGCGAACGGGUGAGUAAUGCAUCGGAACGUACCCAGUCGUGGGGGAUAACGUAGCGAAAGUUACGCUAAUACCGCAUACGUCCUGAGGGAGAAAGCGGGGGACCGUAAGGCCUCGCGCGAUUGGAGCGGCCGAUGUCGGAUUAGCUAGUUGGUGGGGUAAAGGCCUACCAAGGCGACGAUCCGUAGCUGGUCUGAGAGGACGACCAGCCACACUGGAACUGAGACACGGUCCAGACUCCUACGGGAGGCAGCAGUGGGGAAUUUUGGACAAUGGGCGCAAGCCUGAUCCAGCAAUGCCGCGUGCAGGAUGAAGGCCUUCGGGUUGUAAACCGCUUUUGUACGGAACGAAACGGUUCUCUUUAAUAAAGAGGGCUAAUGACGGUACCGUAAGAAUAAGCACCGGCUAACUACGU
rnacentral:rRNA from 1 species